AUGAACGAUACCCUAUGUGCUCCCUUCUCGGAGGAGGAGGUAUCAAAUGCCCUAUUUCAAAUGGGUUCGCUUAAAGCACCAGGGACGGACGGCCUUCCAGCGAGGUUCUUUCAACGAAACUGGGUCGUGCUGAAAUCUAAAAUCAUAGCUGUUGUGCUGGAGUUCUUUAAGUCAGGAGAGAUGCCGGACGGGGUGAACGACACGGCUAUCGUUCUUAUCCUGAAAAUUCCUUUCCCAAAGGAACUCAAGGAUUUUAGACCGAUAAGCUUGUGUAACGUCAUCUACAAGAUUGUGUCAAAAUGCCUCGUGAACAGACUAAGGUCAUUGCUCGCGGAGCUCAUCUCAGAGAAUCAGAGUGCCUUCGUUCCAGGGAGGCUUAUCACUGACAAUUCGAUUAUUGCUUUUGAGUGCCUUCACCACAUACAGUCACUGAAACAAAACAGACCGACGACAUGUGCUUACAAGCUGGACUUGUCGAAGGCAUAUGACCGUGUCGACUGGGACUUUUUGGAGAAGGCACUUGGUAGAUGGGGCUUCGCCCAACAGUGGAUUGCAUGGAUUAUGGUGUGUGUGAAAUCAGUGAAAUAUUCGGUCAAAUUCAAUGGACAAUUGCUUGAGAGUUUCAUUCCCUCUAGAGGAUUAAGGCAAGGUGAUCCUUUAUCGCCAUUCUUAUUUCUUUUUGUUGCUGAUGCCCUUUCUGCUCUGUUCUCUAAAUCAGUUGAGGAAGGCUCGCUAAAGGGGGUGGCUAUAUGUUGUGGUGCACCGGUUAUCUCCCACCUGUUAUUUGCAGAUGAUACUAUGUUGCUUUUUGAGGCGUCUGGCGAGCAAGCAAGCAUUGUUAAGGGGUUGUUGAACACUUAUAGUUCUGCGACGGGUCAACUUAUUAACCCAGAGAAGUGUUCCAUCCUUUUUUUCUGA
rnacentral:rRNA from 1 species